AUUGAACGCUGGCGGCAUGCUUUACACAUGCAAGUCGAACGGUAACAGGUUAAGCUGACGAGUGGCGAACGGGUGAGUAAUGCAUCGGAACGUGCCCGAUCGUGGGGGAUAACGCAGCGAAAGCUGCGCUAAUACCGCAUACGAUCUGAGGAUGAAAGCGGGGGACCGUAAGGCCUCGCGCGAUCGGAGCGGCCGAUGUCAGAUUAGGUAGUUGGUGGGGUAAAGGCCCCCCAAGCCGACGAUCUGUAGCUGGUCUGAGAGGACGACCAGCCACACGGGGACUGAGACACGGCCCAGACUCCUACGGGAGGCAGCAGUGGGGAAUUUUGGACAAUGGGCGAAAGCCUGAUCCAGCAAUGCCGCGUGCAGGAAGAAGGCCUUCGGGUUGUAAAGCUCUUUUGUCAGGGAAGAAACGGUUGUGGCUAAUAUCCAUGGCUAAUGACGGUACCUGAAGAAUAAGCACCGGCUAACUACGUGCCAGCAGCCGCCGUAA
rnacentral:rRNA from 1 species